rnacentral:tRNA from 1 species
UCCCUGGUGGCUCAUCCAGUAAAGAAUCUGCUUGCAAUGCAGAUGACCCAGGUUCAAUCCCUGGGUUGGGAA